rnacentral:rRNA from 1 species
UACGUAGGGGGCAAGCGUUGUCCGGAAUUAUUGGGCGUAAAGCGCGCGCAGGCGGCCUAUUAAGUCUGAUGUGAAAGCCCACGGCUCAACCGUGGAGGGCCAUUGGAAACUGGUAGGCUUGAGUGCAGGAGAGGAGAGCGGAAUUCCUGGUGUAGCGGUGAAAUGCGUAGAUAUCAGGAGGAACACCAGCGGCGAAGGCGGCGCUCUGGGCCGGAACUGACGCUGAGGAGCGAAAGCGUGGGUAGCAAACAGG